GACGAACGCUGGCGGCGUGCCUAAUACAUGCAAGUAGGACGCAGUUGCGAACGGGUGAGUAACGCGUAGGUAACUACCUAUUAGAGGGGGAUAACUAUUGGAAACGAUAGCUAAUACCGCAUACUAGUAGAUGGACCUGCGUUGUAUUAGCUAGUAGGUCGGGUAAUGGCCUACCUAGGCAACGAUACAUAGCCGAGCUGAGAAGGAGAACGGGCAAAACUGGACUGGGACACGGCCCAGAAUCCUACGGGAGGCAGCAGUAGGGAAACGUCGGCAAUGGGGGGAAACCUGAACGAGCAAAGCCGCGGGAGUGAAGAAGGUUUUCGGAUCGUAAAGCUCGUUUGUUAAGGAAGCGGUACUUAACCAGAAAGGGACGGCUAACUACGUGCCAGCAGCCGCGGUAAUUC
rnacentral:rRNA from 1 species